rnacentral:rRNA from 1 species
UACGAAGGGGGCGAGCGUUGUUCGGAUUUACUGGGCGUAAAGGGCGCGCAGGCGGCUUUGUUUGUCAGGCGUGAAAGCCCCGGGCUUAACCUGGGAACUGCGUUUGAUACGGCAGGGCUAGAGUUCGGGAGAGGAGAGUGGAAUUCCCAGUGUAGAGGUGAAAUUCGUAGAUAUUGGGAAGAACACCGGUGGCGAAGGCGGCGCUCUGGACCGAGACUGACGCUGAGGCGCGAAAGCGUGGGGAGCAAACAGG